rnacentral:rRNA from 1 species
UACGUAGGUGGCAAGCGUUGUCCGGAUUUACUGGGCGUAAAGAGCGCGCAGGCGUCGUCCAAGUCGCGUGUGAAAGCCCCCCGGCUCAACUGGGGAGGGUCACGCGAUACUGGUCGACUCGAAGGCAGGAGAGGGUAGUGGAAUUCCCGGUGUAGUGGUGAAAUGCGUAGAUAUCGGGAGGAACACCAGUGGCGAAGGCGACUACCUGGCCUGUUCUUGACGCUGAGGCGCGAAAGCUAGGGGAGCAAACGGGG